GACGAACGCUGGCGGUGUGCUUAACACAUGCAAGUCGAACGGUAAGGCCCUUUCGGGGGUCCACGAGUGGCGAACGGGUGAGUAACACGUGAGUAACCUGCCCUCAUCUCUGGGAUAACAGUCGGAAAUGGUUGCUAAUACUGGAUAUGAGCUUGCAAGGCAUCUUGUGGGUUGGAAAGAUUUUUUUUGGUUGGGGAUGGACUCGCGGCCUAUCAGCUUGUUGGUGAGGUAGUGGCUCACCAAGGCUUCGACGGGUAGCCGGCCUGAGAGGGCGACCGGCCACAUUGGGACUGAGAUACGGCCCAAACUCCUACGGGAGGCAGCAGUGGGGAAUAUUGCACAAUGGACGGAAGUCUGAUGCAGCAACGCCGCGUGCGGGAUGACGGCCUUCGGGUUGUAAACCGCUUUCAAUUGUGACGAAGCGUUUUUGUGACGGUAGCAGUAGAAGAAGCACCGGCUAACUACGUG
rnacentral:rRNA from 1 species